rnacentral:rRNA from 1 species
CCUGUAAGACUGGGAUAACUCGCGGAAAACGUGAGCUAAUACCCGGAUAACACUUUCGAACCACAUGGUUUGAAGAUGAAAGGCGGCGCAAGCUGUCACUUUACAGAUGGGCCCGCGGCGCAUUAGCUAGUUGGUGAGGUAAUGGCUCACCAAGGCGACGAUGCGUAGCCGACCUGAGAGGGUGAUCGGCCACACUGGGACUGAGACACGGCCCAGACUCCUACGGGAGGCAGCAGUAGGGAAUCUUCCGCAAUGGACGAAAGUCUGACGGAGCAACGCCGCGUGAGUGAUGAAGGUUUUCGGAUUGUAAAACUCUGUUGUUAGGGAAGAACAAGUACAAUAGUAACUGAUUGUACCUUGACGGUACCUAACCAGAAAGCCCCGGCUAACUACGUGCCAGCAGCCGCGGUAAUACGUAGGGGGCAAGCGUUGUCCGGAAUUAUUGGGCGUAAAGCGCGCGCAGGCGGUCCUUUAAGUCUGAUGUGAAAGCCCACGGCUUAACCGUGGAGGGUCAUUGGAAACUGGAGGACUUGAGUACAGAAGAGGAGAGUGGAAUUCCACGUGUAGCGGUGAAAUGCGUAGAGAUGUGGAGGAACACCAGUGGCGAAGGCGACUCUCUGGUCUGUAACUGACGCUGAGGCGCGAAAGCGUGGGGAGCGAACAGGAUUAGAUACCCUGGUAGUCCACGCCGUAAACGAUGAGUGCUAGGUGUUAGGGGGUUUCCGCCCCUUAGUGCUGAAGUUAACGCAUUAAGCACUCCGCCUGGGGAGUACGGCCGCAAGGCUGAAACUCAAAGGAAUUGACGG